rnacentral:rRNA from 1 species
CUACGGGAGGCAGCAAUUAGGAAUCUUGCGCAAUGGGCGAAAGCCUGACGCAGCGACGCCGCGUGAAGGAUGACGGCCUUCGGGUUGUAAACUUCUUUUGUCAGGGAAGAAACAAAUGACGGUACCUGGCGAAUAAGCCCCGGCUAACUACGUGCCAGCAGCCGCGGUAAUACGUAGGGGGCGAGCGUUGUCCGAAUUUACUGGGCGUAAAGCGCGCGUAGGCGGACUUUUAAGUCGGUGGUGAAAUCUCAGGGCUCAACCCUGAAACUGCCGCCGAAACUGGGAGUCUUGAGGUAUGGAGAGGGAAGUGGAAUUCCUGGUGUAGCGGUGAAAUGCGUAGAUAUCAGGAGGAACACCCGUGGCGAAGGCGGCUUCCUGGUCAUAUCCUGACGCUGAGGUGCGAAAGCCAGGGGAGCGAACGGGAUUAGAUACCCCGGUAGC